rnacentral:misc_RNA from 1 species
GAUGAAGAACGUAGCGAAAUGCGAUAAGUAAUGUGAAUUGCAGAAUUCAGUGAAUCAUCGAAUCUUUGAACGCACCUUGCGCCCUUUGGCUAUUCCGAAGGGCAUGCCUGUUUGAGUAUCAUGAACACCUCAACUCUCAUGGUUUGCCAUGAUGAGCUUGGACUCUGGGGGUCUUGCUGGCCUAUGGUCAGCUCCUCUCAAAUAAAUCAGCUUGCCAGUGUUUGGUGGCAUCACAGGUGUGAUAACUAUCUACGCUUGUGGUUUUCCAUCAGGUAACCUUCAGUGAUGGAGGUUCGCUGGAGCUCAUAAAUGUCCCUCCUCAGCGAGGACAGCUUUUUGAACAUUUGAUCUCAAAUCAGGUAGGACUACCCGCUGAACUUAAGCAUAUCAAUAAGCGGAAGA